rnacentral:rRNA from 1 species
UACAGAGGUCCCAAGCGUUGUUCGGAUUCACUGGGCGUAAAGGGUGCGUAGGCGGUCGAGUAAGUCUGACGUGAAAUCUCCGGGCCUAACCCGGAAACUGCGUUGGAAACUACUUGGCUAGAGGAAUGGAGGGGAGACUGGAAUACUUGGUGUAGCAGUGAAAUGCGCAGAUAUCAGGAGGAACACCGGUGGCGAAGGCGGGUCUCUGGGCCGAUACUGACGCUGAGGAGCGAAAGCGUGGGGAGCGAACAGG